AACGAACGCUGGCGGCAGGCCUAACACAUGCAAGUCGAGCGAGGACUUCGGUCCUAGCGGCGGACGGGUGAGUAACGCGUGGGAACGUGCCCUUUGCUUCGGAAUAGCCCUGGGAAACUGGGAGUAAUACCGGAUGAGCCCUUUGGGGGAAAGAUGUAUCGGCGAAGGAUCGGCCCGGGUUGGUUUAGGUAGUUGGGGGUGUAAUGGCCUACCAAGCCGACGAUCCAUAGCUGGUUUGAGAGGAUGAUCAGCCACACUGGGACUGAGACACGGCCCAGACUCCUACGGGAGGCAGCAGUGGGGAAUAUUAGACAAUGGGGGAAAACGUGAUCUCGCCAUGCCGCGUGAGCGAUGAAGGCCUUAGGGUUGUAAAGCUCUUUCAGCUGGGAAGAUAAUGACGGUACCAGCAGAAGAAGCCCCGGCUAACUCCGUG
rnacentral:rRNA from 1 species